UAUUAUACUGUAUACUCUAUAUAUAUACAGAGUAUGUGUGUAUNUGUGUGUGUGUGUGUGUGUGUGUGUGUGUGUGUGUGUGUGUGUGUGUGACUUCUUGUUCUAUCAGUCUUGCGUGUGACUUUUGAAUAAACCUGUUUUUCCUGAUUCCUCUGUUUUGACACAGUGUUAUUAUUUUAUCUCUUAGACUGACUGAAGUCCAGAAGAUGAGUGUUUGUGUGGAGGAAGAGGAGGAGAGAGCAGAGUCUCCAGUGUCCAGCUGUCUGUCUAUGAAGAGUGAUUGGUCCAAAUGUCAUCCUCUGGACUUCAGUAAUGAACCUGGACCCUCAGACACAAAAGAGAGGAAGAGGAGUCAUGUUUCUGUGGAGGAGCAGCUGUCCUGCUGUGUUUUGUGUCAGGACGUCCUGAAGGAUCCAGUCUCUACCAGCUGUGGACACUGGUUCUGCAGACAGUGCAUCACCUCAUACUGGGACCAGUCUGCUUCAUCAGGAGACUCCUCCUGUCCCCAGUGUGGAAAACGAUCCAGAACAAGAGCUGGACUGCAGACAGACAGUCAGACCAGCACUGUACAAAGUAAGACUGUACAUCUUAAAAAAAUAAUCUGUUACAUUUCAUUACAUUAAGUUUAUUUAGAGACUCACAAUAAGUUCAUUCAACCAUGUGGAUACAACCCAAAAUUGCAUGAAUCAUGUAACUUCAUCAACUUCAUUAAAUAAGCUGAGAAGGCUUCGGGUGCUACAUUUUAGUUUUAGAGUUUUCAGGCUGAAGAUGUGUACAGUUUCUACUGUCCUGAUGUCAGUGGGGAGCUCAUUCCCAUGAUGUGGAUCCAGCAAAACAAACCGUUGUGAUUUUGUUGAUCGGUAGCUGGACCUCCUAGUAGUGAGGGAGUAGCAAGCUGAUUGUCAGGAGCAGAGUGUAGUGGACAGGCUUGGUUUGGUAAAACCUUGUCCUUGAUGUAGGAUGAGCCUGUGAACCUAUUUACAACACAAUAGUACCAGUGACAAGAAAAUAGAUUAUCUCAUCCACCUCCACCACGAUUCCCACAAGCACAGCACUGAGCUCAUUCAGAGCUUCAUCAAAAGUUAUAUCUUCAUCGUAAUAUUGAACACUGUUAUUGCACAUCGCAGAUAUUCCUCAUAUCGUGCAGGGCUAGUUUAGAUAAUGAGCUGCUGAGGCUCAGCCUGUUGCCUCUGCUGUCAAUCAAACACGUACACCAACACACAGUCAGAGAAAAAAUAACAUUUUCUGAUGUUCCCUCAAAACUGGACUUUAUAAAGUUUACUUCUGUUUAUAUUUCUA
rnacentral:lncRNA from 15 species